rnacentral:rRNA from 1 species
GUGCCUACGGGGGGCAGCAGUGAGGAAUAUUGGUCAAUGGCCGCAGGGCUGAACCAGCCAAGUCGCGUGAGGGAUGACGGUCCUAUGGAUUGUAAACCUCUUUUGUCAGGGAGCAAAGGGCGCCACGUGUGGCGUUCUGCGAGUACCUGAAGAAAAAGCAUCGGCUAACUCCGUGCUAGCAGCCGCGGUAAUACGGAGGAUGCGAGCGUUGUCCGGAUUUAUUGGGUUUAAAGGGUGCGCAGGCGGGAGAUCAAGUCAGCGGGAAAAUGUCGGGGCUCAACCCCGGCCGGCCGUUGAAACUGGUU